UUAAGAGGUAAAACUAUUGCAACCCAUCAAUGUUCCCCCAAAAUUAAAUCUGCAUUUCAUACAAAUAAUUUAAUUUUCUUCAAAAGUAUAGCCCUCUCAGCCUAGUUAGGAACGUUCAUUAUUGUGACUGUUCUUGUAUAAAUUCAUUUGGGGUUCUCUUUUCAUUGCAGGAUCCCUGCACAAUUUUCAAAAUAUCAUGAAGGCAUAAACAUGAUUACAGCUUUCUCAUUUUACAGGUGAAUAACUAAACUAUGAUGCAGAAAAUUUAAAUAAAUUACCCAGUGCCCACCCAUGAGGGACAGAGCUGGAGUAGAGCAUCCUUAUUCUGAUGACCAAAAUACCAUUUCUCUGCUGCAUCCCCCACCAUCAUUACUCACUCCCAGAUUCCCAAAGGACUGAUUUGCUUUUGGUAAGCUCAGACAUGUCAUUUCCUCUCUCUAAGGUGCUGCUUCAAUCUUUUGAAGGGAGAGGACAUCUCUAGUUAAAAUUCAGUCCAAAUGACACAAUCUCAGGUGAGAAGAUCACUUACACCCACCCAACAUGUGCACUACUUUACUUUCUAGUCCAUAGUUUGGCACUUUGUGAAUAAAAUUGAUCUUUUACAGCCACUUAGUAGCAUUUUCAAAGUCCUAGGGCAGUACUGUGCUAAAUGGCAUCCAGCUCAUCUGGAUGUGUGGAGUUUCCAGAUCAUAAAUUCCUAAAGGGCAGAGUCUACAAUUAUUUGGCUAGCUUUAUAUCACUUGCAACUGUGGAUGCUUAAUAAAUACUCUUUCAUGGUAAUGAAGAUGAUGACAAGUUAAUGCUCUUCACAGUGCCAACCAACCAGUCAAUUCAGUGAAAGUCAAACUGGUCAUUUGAUGCCCUGAAAAGAUCUAGUUACUUGAUGGGAUGCAUUAUUCAAAUUGUUGUUGGUUGCUUUUAUGCUUAUAUAGACGUAGUGUUAACAUUGCUUCCAUAUUGAGAAGAGUUAAGAGAAUGGGGCCAUGUAUGCAGUAGUAGUCACUUUUAUCUCAUCAGAUUAAUAAAUUAUAAGCAUAUAGUGGCAUGGAAUCUCAGGAUCACACUGGUCAUAAUGGCCAUCAUUAAAAAGUCUACAAAUAACACAUGUUGCUAGGGAUGUAGAGAAAAGGGACUCCUCCUACAGCGUGUGUGUGAAUGUAAGUUGGUACAACCACUAUCGAAAACUGUAUAGAGGUCCUUCAGCAAACUAAAGAUAGAACUACCAUAUGUCCCAGUAAUCCCACUCCUGAGCAGAUAUCCAGACAAAACUGUAAUUCAAAAGGAUACAUGCACCCCUAUGUUGUUCAUAGCAGCACUAUUCACAGCAGCCAAGACAUGGAAACAACCUGAAAUGUCUAUCGACAGAUGAAUGGAUUAAGAAAAUGAGGUCCAUAUAUACAAAUGUGAUACUUCUCAGCCACAAAGAACAAAAUAAUGCCAUUUUCAGCAACAUGGAUGGAACUAGAGAUUCUCAUACCAAGUGAAGUCAGGCAGAAAGAGAAAGACAAAUGCCAUAUGAUAUCACUUAUGUGUGGAAUCUAAGUGAAUCUAUCUACAAAACAGAAACACAUUCAUGGACAAAGAGAAGAGACUUGUGGUUGCCGAGGGGGAGGGAUGGAAUGAGAGGUUGGGUUUAGCAUAUGUAAGCUAUUAUACACAGAGGGAAUAAACAACGACAGGUUCCUGCUAUUUAACACACAGAACUAUAUUCAAUGUCCUAUGAUAAACCAUAAUGGACAAGAAUAUUUAAAAUAACUGAAUCAGUUUAUUUUUGCUUUUUAGGGCCUCACCCAUGGCAUAUGGAGGUUCCCAGGCUAGGGGUCAAAUUGGAGCUAUAGCUGCUGGCCUACGCCACAGACACAGCAACACGGGAUCCGAGCCAUGUCUGCAACCUACACCACAGCUCACAGCAACGCCAGAUCCUUCACCCACUGAGUGAGGCCAAGGAUUGAACCUGCAACCUCACAGUUCCUAGUUGGAUUCAUUUCCACUGCGCCACAACAGGAACUACCUGAAUCACUUUAAUGUACAGUAGAAAUUAACACAAUAUUGUAGAUCAACUACAAUUCAAUAAAAGUAAAAAUUUAAAAAUACAAUCGAGUACCUCAAGAAGGAAGCUUCCAUGUACCAUUUUUUGGAUGUAACCUUCACUUCCAUAUCUGUAUUUGGAAAAUAAAGUGGAAAAAUAAGCCCACUGAAGACAAUGAACAGCAGAUAUUAUCAGAAAUGCAAUACUGAGGAUCAUCAGAAUUAUCUUGAUAAUUGCUUUAGUGUACCUCUUUACUCAUAUAUUAAUAUAUUAUAAAACUUGAAAAAAAGGAAUAAAGUUGGAGGACUUUCUGCCUGACUUCUUGACUUACUGCGGAUCUGAAAUAUUCUUACCACAAGAAGCAGCACCAAUUACUGGGAACCUCCAUCUGCUGUGGGUAUGGCCCUGAAAAAGCAAAAAAAAAAUGGCAAUUAUGUGAUGUGAUAGACGUAUUAACUAAGGUUAUGGUUAGAAAUCACUUUGCACUGUAUAAGUAUCAAAUCAGCAUAUUGUACACCUUAAGCUUAUACAGUGUUAUUCUGACAAAUCUCAAAAAAACUGAAAAAAGCUAUAAUAAUUAGGAAAAUAAUUUGCCUAUGGAUGUACAAAAACACAUAGAUCAAUGGGACAGAAGAGAUUCUAUAUAGAGAUUUAGUCAUACAUAGUCAAUUGAGUUUUGAUAAAUUUGCGAAGAUAAUAUCUGGUGGAAAGAUCUUUUGAUGGUGCUGGAAAUAUCAGACAUAU
rnacentral:lncRNA from 1 species